rfam:Megasphaera micronuciformis F0359 genomic scaffold Scfld98, whole genome shotgun sequence.
AUUUCAUCAAGAGCAAUUGAGGGAUACGGCCCGAUGACAUUGCGGCAACCCCCGUUAGGGAAGGUGCCAAGUCCGACGGCUUAUGCCGGCAGAUGAACG